UACGUAGGGUGCGAGCGUUGUCCGGAAUUAUUGGGCGUAAAGAGCUCGUAGGCGGCUCGUUGCGUCGGAUGUGAAAGCCCGGGGCUUAACUCCGGGUCGGCAUUCGAUACGGGCGGGCUUGAGUUCGGUAGGGGAGACUGGAAUUCCUGGUGUAGCGGUGAAAUGCGCAGAUAUCAGGAGGAACACCGGUGGCGAAGGCGGGUCUCUGGGCCGAUACUGACGCUGAGGAGCGAAAGCGUGGGGAGCGAACAGG
rnacentral:rRNA from 1 species